rnacentral:lncRNA from 1 species
ACGGGUUACAAAAUGUAUAAUUUGACAAAAUAUAGACAGCACACAUCAACAACAGAUUCAUCGAAUACAAUAGAAGAUUAGUCUUUGAAUACAAUUCAUCAUAUUAGUCUCCGAAUACAAUUCAUCAUAUUAGUCUCCGAAUUGAAAAGACCGAAGAAAGAUAGAACAUUAUAUUACAAGUCUCGAGACCGCGAGUAGCGAGUUUGUCUUCACAUUACAAGUCGAUAUCGAUCAUCUAUGUUAGCUCAUCAUAGACUCCUUUCCCUUUGUUGAUUGUGGAUCAUAUGUUACUCUAUGUGUCCGGUGAUCUAGCACUCGUGUGAUUGAUUCUAUGUCGGUUUAGUGUUUCUCUCUUGUUUUCCCCGUGUUCCCCUUUGUGAUUUCCGCACGUUCCUCGUGUUCUCCCGUAGGAUCCCCUCCAAACGUGAAAGAUCGACCACUUAGGGUUCCGCCCUACAUCAAAGGACCAUGUGUGUAUGUAGAAAACACACACAAGAAACACUGAAUAUCACUAGUCACCCUGCACACAACAAGUUUCAGAUGUUCAGAACAGAUCAACAUGUUGAGCAGUUAGGGAAUCACGAGAAGGAAGUGGGAGGGUGGAUCAUGAUGGUCUCACCUUAUUGCCGUCGUCCUCAUCCAACCCCGGUGACUAAGUACACAUCCAAGAAAGUUCACGAAUCCAUGGGUGCUAGCUUGUCUACCAGCUCCAGCAGCAUUCUGCCCCUGGAUGCCACAAAACAACCUGACUUAUAAGCAUAGAUAGAGAAGAUUAAAAGAGAAACAACACACUAAUGCUACAAUGCCUCAUAGUAUAAUUUUACUAUAGCCAACAACACUUAAAGAAAUAAUAUCUAUAGAUGAUUCCAUACAAAGUAGAACAGUUUUACUACAAUGCACACAAGCUACUGGUGACUGGUUAUAUUGGUUCAUUGUCAUUAAAUUAAAAAAGAACAAAAGGAACAAACAAAGAGUACAAGAACAAACAAAGCUCAUUGUCUAAUUUCAUUUUAGCUAACAGGACAGAACUACCACAAUCCCCACUCAUACAGGAAGUCCACAAUGGUGGGAGCCGACUUUCCCUACAAUGUAAGCCAGCUACUGAAUAUAUUUAGGUGCAUCAUCUGACACUAUGGAUGGUCUAGUUGCAUAGCAGAUUACAAGUACAUUAAUAGCAAAUUACGAACUAAUGUACUUUGGUGGCCUCACGAUCCUUCUUGUUGCAACAAAGACAAUAUCCUGUGCAAGAGAAGCACAUUUAUCAAAUUUCAUUGUUUCAAAUUUUAACAUCAUUUUAGAGUACAAACAAACUCCUCUAGCUAAACAUGUCACAGUUUUUAUAGUGAUGAUCUUGGACAAAGUGCAAGGGGCUCAAGUAUAUAACCAAUAAGCUUGGAGGCAAAGAUUUAUAGUACAAGCAUGAAAAUUAGAACAACAGAUGAUUUUCUGCCCGCAAAUGAUUUCACUUGUUAUGUGACACUAUCAUACUAUAUUAAAAUGCAAUGACAGUCUACUCAAUACAAGCCUACGUUUGUAACGAUCCUGAACUUUUGAAUGCAUGCCAGCAGCAACUGACUCCAUUUGCUGGGAAACUUUCAGCCAUAUAUAACACAAUGCCAUACCAAAAUGCCUGUUCCUGCAAAACCACCAUGACAAAAGUAAGGGUAAUCAAUGGGUGGGAUACAUCUAAUCAGUAGCCAGGACAGAGCUACAUUUCAGCAGCACAAAAGACUUUUCUUGUGACCCACCACAGCAAGCUUGUUGUAAGCUGUAUAGGUCAAAAAGUAGACGCCCUAACAUCAUCGCAUCUAUCAUCAGUAGCAGAGUCGAAAUCAGGUCAACGAUGGGGAAGAUCAGGCACACACCUUUUCAAUGGGGAGCGUGAAGAGCGCGAUGCUGGCGGCCGUGAGCAGGACGGCACCCACAGCGAGGCGGAGGGCCGAGAGCCAUGAGAACGCCAUGGACGCGAGCAGCCUCUGCCGCCAGGGCCUGAGCCUGCAGUCCUCCCCCUCGCCGCCCUUGUUUGCGCCGUCCGCCCAGCCCCACCACCCUCCCCCACACCCACAGCCAAACCGCCGCUCCUGCCAGAUUCCCUAGAUUCACCUUCCUCCCCACCUUGGCCGCCCCUGCCUCCCGCGCUGCCUCACCUCGCCUCUCCUUGUCCUGCCGCAUCACCUCAUCCGACACCUGGUGCGUUGUGCUCGCUUGCGAGGAAGAGGGGUGGUGGUCGGAGGCGAGGACGGGUCCGGCGGCGGCGCUCCAACC